UUUACUUAAUUUAUAAUUUUGUAUAUCGUUGUUAUAAAAAUAUUUUUUAAUAAAAUUAAUAUUUAAAAAUUAUUAUAAAAAUUUAAAUCAGAUCAAGAUGCAGAUUAUAAUUAAGAAUAUAAUGGAUUACAAUAAAAUUAUUUAAAUGAAUAUUAAUUUGUAAAAAUUAAUUGAAAGUGGAUUUAAAUGUAAUUUUAUUUAAUUUAAUAAAAUGAUUAAAAAUUAAAAUAUGU
rnacentral:rRNA from 1 species